CUCACCAUGAGCAGGAAGACGUGUCUUCGGCGUCCACUUCAAACUUUAUAUAAUGGCAGUAAAAAAGAGUCUCAGGUCGCCCUCCUUCCCUCCAGGAGCAUGAAGAAGUGCAGAGAGAGACUUUAAAGAGUAACUCACUUGGAGGCCUUCUGGUCUCUUUGCCAUGAUGAAGAAACUGAAGAUGACUUUCUUUGAACAUUGGUUUCAUUGGAGAACAUCAAAGGCUGGUGCAGGUGAGACUGAAGACCUUCGAGCCAGCUGCAUAAAGAUCAAAAUCCUCCAAGGAUGCUCUUGAGUGAGACCUCAUCAAGUCUGGUGUGAAAUGAGAGACUGGUGAGCUCAGGAGUCUAACCCUCAAGGGAUGUUGAGUCUCGGAGGUCAAAGUUGUGGCUGGGCAGGACCUCGCUGGAUGUAAGAGCUGGUGUGAAAUGAGAGACUGGUGAGCUCAGGAGUCUAACCCUUGAGGGAUGUUGAGUCUCGGAGGUCAAAGUUGUGGCUGAGCAGGACCUCGCUGGAUGUGAGAGCUGGUGAAAUGAGAGACUGAGCUCUGGAGUUGAAUCCUCGAAAGAUGUUGAGUCUCGGAGGUCAAAGUUGUGGCUGAGCAGGACCUCGCUGGAUGUGAGAGCUGGUGUGAAAUGGUAGACUGAGCUCUGGAGUUGAAUCCUCGAAGGAUGUUGUGUCUCGGACCUCGCUGGAUGUGAGAGCUGUUUGACUCUGCAACGCUGAGAGUGACUCUUAAUCUUGCCGAUGACUGACGGUGAUCCAUUUAUUUCACUGGAGUCUCAAACACAUCGUGCAGAUGUUGUUGCCAGCCAGAAAACUGCUGCUCCCUCAAGACUGUAUAUGAACCCUGUUAGAAAUAUGAGACACUGUUGGAUUAGCUUCUGCAGAAACAGUAUACUGUGUGCUCGGAUCAGAGCCCCAGACACGGAGGAUAAUCUGAGGGUGACGCAUCACGACUGUGAUAGUGGUGCUUUGAUACUCGAGGAGCUUUAUUACAUCACUGUGAUCAUAACUCUACACUGAAUAAAUAUUUACUGUU